AACGAACGCUGGCGGCAGGCCUAACACAUGCAAGUCGAGCGAGGACUUCGGUUCUAGCGGCGGACGGGUGAGUAACGCGUGGGAAUGUGCCCUUCUCUACGGAAUAGCCCUGGGAAACUGGGAGUAAUACCGUAUACGCCCUAUUGGGGAAAGAUUUAUCGGAGAAGGAUCAGCCCGCGUUGGAUUAGGUAGUUGGUGGGGUAAUGGCCUACCAAGCCGACGAUCCAUAGCUGGUUUGAGAGGAUGAUCAGCCACACUGGGACUGAGACACGGCCCAGACUCCUACGGGAGGCAGCAGUGGGGAAUCUUAGACCAUGGGGGCAACCCUGAUCUAGCCAUGCCGCGUGAGUGAUGAAGGCCUUAGGGUUGUAAAGCUCUUUCAGCUGGGAAGAUAAUGACGGUACCAGCAGAAGAAGCCCCGGCUAACUCCGUG
rnacentral:rRNA from 1 species